GACGAACGCUGGCGGCGUGCUUAACACAUGCAAGUCGAGCGGUAAGGCCCUUUCGGGGGUACACGAGCGGCGAACGGGUGAGUAACACGUGGGUGACCUGCCCUCAGCUCUGGGAUAAGCCUGGGAAACCGGGUCUAAUACUGGAUAUGACUCCAUGACGCAUGUUGUGGGGUGGAAAGCCUUGUGCGGCUGAGGAUGGGCCCGCGGCCUAUCAGCUUGUUGGGGGGUGAUGGCCUACCAAGGCGACGACGGGUAGCCGGCCUGAGAGGGCGACCGGCCACACUGGGACUGAGACACGGCCCAGACUCCUACGGGAGGCAGCAGUGGGGAAUCUUGCGCAAUGGGCGAAAGCCUGACGCAGCGACGCCGCGUGAGGGAUGACGGCU
rnacentral:rRNA from 1 species